CGGGGUGAGUAAUGCUUGGGAAUCUAGCUUAUGGAGGGGGAUAGCUACGGGAAACUGUAGCUAAUACCGCGUAAUAUCGAAAGAUUAAAGUGUGGGACCUUCGGGCCACAUGCCAUAGGAUGAGCCCAAGUGGGAUUAGGUAGUUGGUGAGGUAAAGGCUCACCAAGCCGACGAUCUCUAGCUGGUCUGAGAGGAUGACCAGCCACACUGGGACUGAGACACGGCCCAG
rnacentral:rRNA from 1 species